UGCCCCAUGGCUGAGUUGGUUACAGCGUCCGACUGUUAUCCACGUCUGUGGAAGCCCAUCGGAAGGUCGUGAGUUCGAGCCUCACUGGGGCAG